AAAUAUUCUAAUUUACUGGCUUUUACCUGUAUAUGUGUAUGAAAUACUUGACUUGGUGAAUUCCAGCUGUCAAUACACUCCUCCCCUCUUAACCACACCCCCAACCACGUCCCGCCCCACCCCCGACCACGCCCCCACCUCCCGAAAUCGGAGGUCUCAAGGUUGGCAAAUAUGACAAUGGCAAGCGUGGAUGUGCACAAUUUGUUAGCCGAAUGUACAGUACCUAUUUUCGCCGCCGCUUCUUUCAGCUUCUCGACGUACUUCAGGACACCGGCCAGAGGCACCCUGCUGUCCGCGCUGGAGGCCAUCAGCAGCAUGGACGGGCCCCGUGUUGGCGAGUACGAUCAAGCUCCGCCUCCAGUGCUCCAGGUGGUACAACAGCUCCGGCUGGCGCGGCUGAACCAUGACGGGUUCUAGACGGGGAUCGGAGACAUCGACCAUCAGAACCUCUGAGCUGGUCCUGCUGCUGCUGUUGAUGGCUGGGAUUCCUGGUAAACGGAUCGUACGUUGCUCCCGUGCGGAGUCAAGUCCAGACGGUGGACUCUGUGGCACCGCAGACCCUCUUGGCUUGUGUAGAACAAAACCUCAUCUGUGGCCCACUCUGGGAAGACACACUUCUGUUACUCCUUGACAUUACUCAAACUAGUGUGAUCCAAAGCGUACCGAAGCUGAAGACGUGGUCCAGUGUGAGCAGAACAUGAGAUCUUUUCAGUCCGAGCUUCACCAGCGCACACCUGAGUGACAUCGUCACAAAACAUCAUUUCAGUGCAAAAUAACUCACGUGUGAUGAUCUUCUCUUCUGUGGACCUUAAAGCUUGCUUGUGUUGUGCCUUCACUGUGACGGCGAGAUGCUUCUCCUGAGGGGACAGACGCAUUCUCUGCACCGUCCACUCUUCAGGUCCUGUCUCCUCAUCGUCUUCCUCACCAACAGGGAUCUGUCCCAGGUGAACAACCAGCUCUGGUUCUGACUCACCUGCAAGUAUUGAGUCUAUCAAUACUGGUGCAUAUAUUUGUUUUUAGGAACUGUUCAUACUUGCUUAUUUGGGUGGUCAAACGUAUCGAUACUUCGAUACCAACAAGCAAGAAAUACACCGAUAUCUGCUUUUAUCUAUAUCGACAGUACCGAAUAAUGUACAACACUUUUUCUCCGGUGAUCCACAUGACUUCACACAUGUGACUACUGAGCCAGUGUUUCCCAUAUUCCUGGAAGACUGUCACAAAUAGGGCUGGACGAUUGUGGCAAAAAUAAUAACCACGAUUAUAUUGUAAUCACGAUUAAUAACUUUGUAUUCAUACUUGUACUUCAAAACAAAUUAAAGUAGUAUAAUGUAUUGUAAGCCCCAGAAGAAAUCACACAAAGUCAGACACUAUUUUUAACUUUUAUUACCAAUCUUAUGAUAAUAAACAACGGCACAAUUCCAACAGGUUUUACCUCCCAUGAAAACACUUUCGUCUCCUUGAGUCUUCGCUUGCUCAUUCUCCGCCAAUCACCUUUCAGGCAUGGACGAUGUGUUUGUAAACAUACGAAAAACUGACAUCAAAUACAAACAAAAAACAUUAGAUGGUCGUUACAGUAUGAAUUGGUAUAUAUAUAAAUAUAGCCUAUUAUUUUUGCACUUUUGACAAAUGAUGUACCAAAACCUGACCACCGAAAAAAGACUUUAUCCAGUGAAAACCGUGCUACCGAAACCGGAUGUAAACAAAAUGCACGCACACGACUGCCAAAUUUAUAUGACGAUUUCAAAAGGUCACGCGCCCCUGACAUCUCUUCUCAACUGUCUAUGCGACGUCAAGGCUUGGUUAGCCCAGAAUUUUUUAAUAAUGAAUGAGGGAAAAACGGAAAUUUUAGUUUUUGCUCCGGCCCUAACUGACUUGGGACCAUUGCAAAAUGAUGUGCGUCCCAAAGUCACCAGCCUUGGCGUCACUAUAGACAGCGAUUUUAAACUUGACAAACAAGUCAAUGGCGUUUUAAAAUCGUGUUUUUAUCAUCUUCGUCUUUUAGCAAAGGUAAAACCGUUUUUAUCUUUUAACCUUUUUGAACAAGUCGUGCAUGCUUUUAUUUCAAUUCGCCUGGACUACUGCAAUGCACUUUAUGCUGG